CAACCUACGGGACGCAGCAGUGAGGAAUAUUGGUCAAUGGACGAGAGUCUGAACCAGCCAAGUAGCGUGAAGGAUGACUGCCCUAUGGGUUGUAAACCUCUUUUAUAUGGGAAUAAAAUGUUCCACGUGUGGGAUUUUGUAUGUACCAUAUGAAUAAGGAUCGGCUAACUUCGUGCCAGCAGCCGCGGUAAUACGGAGGAUCCGAGCGUUAUCCGGUUUUAUUGGGUUUAAAGGGAGCGUAGGUGGAUUGUUAAGUUAGUUGUGAAAGUUUGGGGCUCAACCGUAA
rnacentral:rRNA from 1 species